AGAGUUUGAUCAUGGCUCAGAUUGAACGCUGGCGGCAGGCCUAACACAUGCAAGUCGAACGGUAACAGGAAACAGCUUGCUGUUUCGCUGACGAGUGGCGGACGGGUGAGUAAUGUCUGGGAAACUGCCUGAUGGAGGGGGAUAACUACUGGAAACGGUAGCUAAUACCGCAUAACGUCGCAAGACCAAAGAGGGGGACCUUCGGGCCUCUUGCCAUCAGAUGUGCCCAGAUGGGAUUAGCUAGUAGGUGGGGUAACGGCUCACCUAGGCGACGAUCCCUAGCUGGUCUGAGAGGAUGACCAGCCACACUGGAACUGAGACACGGCCCAGACUCCUACGGGAGGCAGCAGUGGGGAAUAUUGCACAAUGGGCGCAAGCCUGAUGCAGCCAUGCCGCGUGUAUGAAGAAGGCCUUCGGGUUGUAAAGUACUUUCAGCGGGGAGGAAGGGAGUAAAGUUAAUACCUUUGCUCAUUGACGUUACCCGCAGAAGAAGCACCGGCUAACUCCGUGCCAGCAGCCGCGGUAAUACGGAGGGUGCAAGCGUUAAUCGGAAUUACUGGGCGUAAAGCGCACGCAGCCGGUUUGUUAAGUCAGAUGUGAAAUCCCCGGGCUCAACCUGGGAACUGCAUCUGAUACUGGCAAGCUUGAGUCUCGUAGAGGGGGGUAGAAUUCCAGGUGUAGCGGUGAAAUGCGUAGAGAUCUGGAGGAAUACCGGUGGCGAAGGCGGCCCCCUGGACGAAGACUGACGCUCAGGUGCGAAAGCGUGGGGAGCAAACAGGAUUAGAUACCCUGGUAGUCCACGCCGUAAACGAUGUCGACUUGGAGGUUGUGCCCUUGAGGCGUGGCUUCCGGAGCUAACGCGUUAAGUCGACCGCCUGGGGAGUACGGCCGCAAGGUUAAAACUCAAAUGAAUUGACGGGGGCCCGCACAAGCGGUGGAGCAUGUGGUUUAAUUCGAUGCAACGCGAAGAACCUUACCUGGUCUUGACAUCCACGGAAGUUUUCAGAGAUGAGAAUGUGCCUUCGGGAACCGUGAGACAGGUGCUGCAUGGCUGUCGUCAGCUCGUGUUGUGAAAUGUUGGGUUAAGUCCCGCAACGAGCGCAACCCUUAUCCUUUGUUGCCAGCGGUCCGGCCGGGAACUCAAAGGAGACUGCCAGUGAUAAACUGGAGGAAGGUGGGGAUGACGUCAAGUCAUCAUGGCCCUUACGACCAGGGCUACACGCGUGCUACAAUGGCGCAUACAAAGAGAAGCGACCUCGCGAGAGCAAGCGGACCUCAUAAAGUGCGUCGUAGUCCGGAUUGGAGUCUGCAACUCGACUCCAUGAAGUCGGAAUCGCUAGUAAUCGUGGAUCAGAAUGCCACGGUGAAUACGUUCCCGGGCCUUGUACACACCGCCCGUCACACCAUGGGAGUGGGUUGCAAAAGAAGUAGGUAGCUUAACCUUCGGGAGGGCGCUUACCACUUUGUGAUUCAUGACUGGGGUGAAGUCGUAACAAGGUAACCGUAGGGGAACCUGCGGUUG
rnacentral:rRNA from 1 species